AAAUGUAAGUUCUAUUCAAUACAGAAGAUAUUCAUCUAAACACCUAUUGACUUAAGCAUCAGAGUCAAUUUGCAGACAUUCACAUCUCACUUACAAUAGGAAGAUGAUGCAGAGGACAUAUAUCAUAUCAUCCAUCAGAAGCCACCACUAACAAGAUCGGUCGAGGUAGAACUCGGUAAGAACACCUAAUAUAUGAUCAUCAAGGCCCUUGUUUAUUUUACAUUCUCAAGGUCUAUUUUCAUUAUGU
rnacentral:lncRNA from 1 species